AGCAAGCAUCAUUUCCACUGCACAGCACUACUACAGUCAGGGAGUUGUUUCCGAUUACGAGCUACAGUAAGCAAUCACAGUAGGAGAUACUGACAUCCAUAGACGCCGUAACGAACGCCGCAGGUAUUCUUGUAGAAAUACUGGAUCUGGAGCAAGUCCCUUUGGCCGCUGAAGACAUCUCAAACUAAGCAGGGCGUCAGAGGCAGCCUGGUGCCCCUUCCCAGUCCUCUUCGCUCCAAGUUCUUUAGCAACCGCAUCAAGCUUUCCCGGAACUCUCUCCUUGUUGAUGCACUUGUCGUACUUUGAGAACGACUUGCAUUCAAAUGAUGAAGGGAAAUACUCUACGACUUGCAACAGGAACUAGAGUCGUGUUUCUGGCAAUGGAUCCUUCGUUAGGAGAUUUAUCAUGAGUCCAAAAUCUUGAUAGCCCAUAAAGGUAACCCAGGUGACACUCUUGUUCUGCAGGAGACCGGACUCACGUAAAAUGUUCUUGAACUCCGAGGCUGGAAGUCCCUUUGUCGCAUGCUCCUCUAAUAUCAGUCCACUCUCCCUCAAGAAUUUCACUCCACAGUGGUCACCAGAUCUCCUAGUGGGGUCGAACAAGAGAUUUAAUUGGAACAUUGCACCUCCGAGCAAAUUGAACUCCGUAUCGGCAAUUCCGAUCCCAACCUGCACAAGGUCUCCACCAUGCACAUAGGAUCACAGCUGCAAAUAGACUAUCCUCCAACAAUUGAUAGAUAUACCGUAUACAUCCACACAUCUCCAUUGGUUAGAUUCACCUGCAAAUCCCUAUUUUGUCUAUCAGUAAGCAUGAUGUGUCUACGGAUCUAUUAGUAAUUUGACUGAAAGAGAUUUCUCUGAAAAAGGAGUUGUACUGCUCCUGGAAUGAGUUACGUGGUUUUUAUUGGGAUUGCUGGCCGUGGUGGUUUCCUUUUGGGACAAAGCUAUUCGCAUCCCAUCUGGAAUUGACAUAUUCAGGUAUUAAAUGUCACUAGAUUCUGCUUCAUGCUUCCAUUUCUCCUUGGGACAAAAAAGGUACAUUGAUGCAGUUUGAUUAAGCAGAGUAAUCUGACUUCAACAGUUUUUUCCUCUGUCAUUGUCCGACAAGAAAUUUUUUGUCCCAUCAUUGUCUUACAAGCAGUUUUUUGCUGAUACAUUUUCCCAGUGUCAACACCUGCCUAAGACAAAACUGCAAAAUAUUGGUCGAGAUAUUGGCAGAGUGGUCGAGUCACACUGACAGAGUAUGUAGCUCAAAAGUAUAAUGAGCAUCAGUCACGUAGCUUCACAGAGCCAUUGCUAAUUAGCAAGCAUCAUUUCCACUGCACAGGACUACUACAGUCAGGGAGUUGUUGCCGAUUACGAGCUAUAGUAAGCAAUCACAGUAGGAGAUACUGACAUCCAUUGAUGCCGUACAGAGCAGUCUAAUGAUGAAGGGAAAUAUUCUACGACUUGCAACAGGAACUGGAGUCGUGUUUCUGGCAAUGGAUCCUUCGUUAGGAGAUUUAUCAUGAAUCCAAAAUCUUGAUAACCCAUAAAGGUAACCUAGGUGACAUUCUUGUUCUGUAGGAGACCCGACUCACGUAACAUGUUCAUGAACUCCGAGGCUGGAAGUCCCUUUGUCGCAUGCUCAUCUAAUAUCAGUGCACUCUCCCUCAGGAAUUUCACUCCACAGUGGUCACCAGAUCUCCUAGUGGGGCCGAACAAGAGAUUUAAUUGGAACAUUGCACCUCCGAGCAAAUUGAACUCCGUAUCGACAAUUCCGAUCCCAGCCUGCACAAGGUCUCCACCAUGCACAUAGGAUCGCAGCUACAAAUAGACUAUCCUCCAACAAUUUAUAGUUAUACCGUAUACAUCCAAACAUCUCCAUUGGUUAGAUUUACCUGCAAAUCCAUAUUUGGUCUAUCUGUAAGCAUGAUCUGUCUACAGAUCUAUUAGUAAUUUGACUGAAAGAGAUUUCUCUAAAAAAGGAGUUGUGCUGCUCCUGGAAUGAGUUACGUGCUUUUUAUUGGGAUUGCUGGUCGUGGUGGUUUCCUUUUGGGACAAAGCUAUUCACAUCCCAUCUGAAAUUGACAUACUCAGGUAUUAAAUGUCACUAGAUUCUGCUUCAUGCUUCCAUUUUUCCUUGGGACAAAAAAGGUACAUUGAUGCAGUUUGAUUAAGCAGAGUAAUCUGACUUCAACAAUAUUUUUCCUUUAUCAUUGUCCGACGAGAAAUGUUUUUGUCGCUAUCAUUGUCCUCCAAGCAAAUUUGUGCUGAUACAUUAUCCCAGUGUUAACACCUGCCUAAGACAAAACUGCAGAAUGUUGGUCGAGAUUUGGGCAGAGCGGUCGAGUCACAUUGAAGACUAUGUAGCUCAAAAGUAUAAUGAGCAUCAGUCACGUAGCUUCACAGAGCCAUUGCCAAUUAGCAAGCAUCAUUUCCACUGCACAGCACUACUACAGUCAGGGAGUUGUUUCCGAUUACGAGCUACAGUAAGCAAUCACAGUAGGAGAUAUUGACAUCCAUAGACGCCGUAACGAACGCCGCAGGUAUUCUUGUAGAAAUACUGGAUCUGGAGCAAGUCCCUUUGGCCGCUGAAGACAUCUCAAACUAAGCAGGGCGUCAGAGGCAGCCUGGUG
rnacentral:lncRNA from 1 species